rnacentral:rRNA from 1 species
GACGAACGCUGGCGGCAUGCCUAAUACAUGCAAGUCGAGCGAACAGAUGAAGUGCUUGCACUUCUGACGUUAGCGGCGAACGGGUGAGUAACACGUAAGGAAUCUACCUAUAAGCGGGGGAUAACAUUCGGAAACGGGUGCUAAUACCGCAUAAUAUCUUCUUCCGCAUGGAAGAAGAUUGAAAGACGGCUCUGCUGUCACUUAUAGAUGGCCUUGCGGUGCAUUAGUUAGUUGGUGGGGUAACGGCCUACCAAGACGAUGAUGCAUAGCCGACCUGAGAGGGUGAUCGGCCACAUUGGGACUGAGACACGGCCCAAACUCCUACGGGAGGCAGCAGUAGGGAAUCUUCCGCAAUGGGCGAAAGCCUGACGGAGCAAUGCCGCGUGAGUGAAGAAGGCCUUCGGGUCGUAAAACUCUGUUAUAAGAGAAGAACAAAUUGUAGAGUAACUGCUACAGUCUUGACGGUAUCUUAUCAGAAAGCCACGGCUAACUACGUGCCAGCAGCCGCCGCAG